GACGGUGCAUUCUCCCUCCCCUAUUCCUUCCCCCUUUUCUCCAAACUCCAAACCCGAAAUAAUAAUUCCUUCACAUUUCUGCCUGUCGACUGCAUCACCUGCAAUCUCGAGUCUCCAACUUCGGAAGAUCGAGUGAAAGUUUCAGAGCGAUAGAAAUUACAAGAUGGCGGGAAGUGGAAGGGGGUCGAGGUUCUCACUCCUGCUGCUCCCUCUGUUGAUUUCUUUCUCCGUGCUGCCCUGCAUAUCUUUCGCUUACAAGCAAGGCGACAUCGUCCCCAUGAGCAAGAUGGGCCUUUAUCACUCUAUCCAUGAAAACUGAAUGGCAUGAUAUGAUCGGUCGACACUGCCCAAUUUUUGCCGUGAAUCGUGAGGUAAAUAUAGGGUUUAUUUCUUGGUGAUUUUACAUGGGUAGUACAUUUUUGUUGUGUAUAAAUUUGUAGGUGUUAGUUCCUCUAGUGAAGCCAGUGGGCUAUACAAGAGCUGAUGCUUAUAAAAUGUGAGUAUAAUUAAGCCGAUGGGCUAUACAGGAGAUGAUGCUUAAAAAAUGUAAAUAUAUGGUUAGUAAAUUUUUGUUGUGUAUAAAUUUGUAGGUGUUAGUUUCCUCA